rnacentral:rRNA from 1 species
CGGCGGACGGGUGAGUAACGCGUGGGUAACCUGCCUCAUACAGGGGGAUAACAGUUAGAAAUAGCUGCUAAUACCGCAUAAGACCACAGUACUGCAUGGUACAGUGGUAAAAACUCCGGUGGUAUGAGAUGGACCCGCGUCUGAUUAGGUAGUUGGUGGGGUAACGGCCCACCAAGCCGACGAUCAGUAGCCGACCUGAGAGGGUGACCGGCCACAUUGGGACUGAGACACGGCCCAG